rnacentral:tRNA from 1 species
GCACCCGUAGCUCAGUGAAUAGAGCGGGUGAUUGCUAGUAUCCAGGUCGUCAACUUCAAUCUGACCGGGUGCACCA